UGGCGAACGGGUGAGUAACGCGUGGGCAACCUGCCCUCUAGAUGGGGACAACAUCCCGAAAGGGGUGCUAAUACCGAAUGUGACAGCAAUCUCGCAUGAGGAUGCUGUGAAAGAUGACCUCUAUUUAUAAGCUAUCGCUAGAGGAUGGGCCUGCGUCUGAUUAGCUAGUUGGUGGGGUAACGGCCCACCAAGGCGACGAUCAGUAGCCGGACUGAGAGGUUGACCGGCCACAUUGGGACUGAGAUACGGCCCAGACUCC
rnacentral:rRNA from 1 species